rnacentral:rRNA from 1 species
UACGGGGGGUGCAAGCGUUAUUCGGAUUUAUUGGGCGUAAAGAGCGCGUAGGCGGUUUACCAAGUCAGAUGUGAAAGCCCUGGGCUCAACCUGGGAAGUGCAUUUGAAACUAGUAGACUUGAGUAUGGGAGAGGGGAGUGGAAUUCCUGGUGUAGAGGUGAAAUUCGUAGAUAUCAGGAGGAACACCGGUGGCGAAGGCGACUUCCUGGACCAAUACUGACGCUGAGGCGCGAAGGCGUGGGGAGCAAACAGG